CCCGAUGGGUGAGGGGUUAGACUCGUGGGUGUGUCCGGAUGGAGCUGAGAGUGGAGAACUUCCUGGUCAGCCUGCUUGACAUCGGCUGGCCAGAAAGCAGGACAAGAUGAACGCCCUGCUGGGGAUUGAGAUAAUUGAGAUCCUGUCUCUGGAGAGACUGGUGAACCAGAGCCGCUGUCUGUGCCACAUUAAGCCCUGCUCAGCCUUCAUGGACCAGCUGAGGUGGACAGACAGAAGACGCUGUGGGGUCUUUGCUGGCUGCUGCAUGCCGUCAAUCUGGAUUACCCAGAACUCUGUUCUUUCAUAAUCAGGAACAUCAGGGACAGGAGACCUCUGGCACCAGAUGAGGGACAACCGUGGGAAGAUGGAGAGGCUGCAGCAAGCCCAAAGAUGAAAGGUAAGAGAGAGACUAUAACUCUGUGCCUUCAGUUAGACUCCUAGAAAAUCAUCUGUCUUGGUCAAUGUGUAGAGAUUGCAGUGACAGAAUAUGUAUCCAUGAACUAUUUCAAAGACAUUGCUUAGCGAAAGCAUUGUGGCAUUGAUAUUUUUUCAUGUAAAAUGUUGUCUCUGUGUAGGAUACGUGGCAGCAAAAAUAACCUUGAUAAAGUACAACGCCUUCAAGAAAAGGACCAAAGGCCCAGACCCCCUUCCUACAACCCAUUUGAGACAUUGACAGUUUUAGUUGCAGAUCCAUUUGAUCUUGAUAAGAUUCCUAUAGUUUCAGUACAGUAAAGGUGUUAUGUGUGAACUGAUACACAUUUUGUAUUUUAGGAUAAUAUGAAGAAAAAGAAGGGAGGCCUGCCCUGCCUGCAAACCCUCCACAACCUCGUUCUAUUACCUCAUAUCUUACAUUUAUGGAUUACAACUGGAGUUUCCAUCAGCUUUUGAAGGACAAUUUAAAAAGACCUGACAGCACAUUUUUCUUAGUAGCAACUGUGUAGGAAUUACAAAGCCAAUACACCUCUGAGAAAUGUGUGUUUAUUUUAUGUUACCAAAAUAUGUUAUAUGUGAGUGUCAAUAUUUAUUUAUUAGUGGUUAUUUAAUUAUCUGUAGUAAAAGUAAACAAUUGUUUACAAACAUGAUCAAUGUACGGACAAACUAUUUCAAUUCCUUGUAAAUAUACAUAGAGUUGAUCUGUUUAUAUUGCAAUUUUGAUGGAAAGUAAGACUUGAUUUUAUAAAGUUUCUUGGCCCCUUUGUUAUAUUAUAUGUUAUAUGUUAUAUGUUGCUCGCUUCGAGGCAAGCAACACUGAGGCAUGCAUGAGAGCAUCAGCUGUUCCCGACGACUGUGUGAUCAUGCUCUCUGAAGCUG